CAUACGAAGAUAACGGUAGGUUUGUGUUUUUUUGGUUGCGGAAGAAAUUGGAUUUACAAAUGGAAUUAUAAAUGUUUUAAGGAAAUUUACAGAUAGUUUCGAGUUUCUCGAGUAAGAACUUGGAUUGUAGUAAAGGAGAACUAAAGUAAAACUUGCUUAUCCGUUUAAUCUUCUAUCUAAGCUGUUCAGCCUCGGGUCGCGUGUACUUUUAGCCUGAACACGGAAGUAGAGUGAAUAUGUCAUGAUGUGUCAAAGACGUACCAGUACUCACAGUAGCUCUUUGGAUGUUCAUAUAACGUGGAAAUCUAGGAAAAAUCAAAUGUUAGAUGUCAGGUCAUCUAAGUGCAAUCAGAUGAUGUUAUUCAACAUGCUGUGGCUGCAUUGAACUAGAAGUCAUUUCAGGAACAGAAUCCAGGGAUCAUAAGAGAAAUUUAUGUAUGUAUAGCCAAUGAUGAUGAUACCUGCUGGCCAAUCACUGCCAAAGAAUAACCUAUUCACAGAAAUAUGGCAUCUUUCACACAUAUGGAAUGGAACAUUUUUGCCAAGAUGCUACAUAAACUCUGACACCGAGAAUAUGGCACCUUUCCCACAUAUGGAAUGGAAAAUUUUUUCCAAGACGCUACAUAAACUCUGACACCGAGAAUAUGGCACCUUUCACACAUAUGGAAUGGAACAUUUUUGCCAAGACGCUACAUAAACUCUGACACCGAAAAUAUGGCACCUUUCACACAGUCAUAUGGAAUGGAACAUAUUUGCAAAGACGCAACAUAAACUCUGACACCGAACGUACAUUACGACUAGUAGGACAAUAAUGGUAACAUAAAUUACACCAUGUUAAAAACUCUUGUCUUCGGUAUUGCUGCAGCCGGUCAGAAUUUGGAUUUAAUAAAUGUAUUUCAUGAAGUCACUUACAGGACAGUACCUAUUGUCAAAUUAACUGUGUCAUAUGACAUAAGCCCUGCUAAGUCAUUACUAACACUAAGUCUUGUCAACAAAUAUAUUUAUUGCUUAGACUUUAUGAUUUGAUUUUUGUCGAAAAACAUAUGCAUAAUUUCUGCAGCAGAUCCUAGACUAGUGCAAUAUUAUUCUGAGAAAGAACAAAUUCAUAUUUCUGGAUGCAAAGCUAAUUUUCAUUACAUACACAGAGUUAGAUCUAAUCUUAGAAUUAUUCUGGUAGAUGAAAUAAAUAAGUUCUUUAACCAAA
rnacentral:lncRNA from 1 species